ACCUGGUCUUGACAUCCCGAGAAUUUUCUAGGAACAGAGAGUGCCUCGCAAGAGGAAUUCGGAGACAGGUGCUGCAUGGCUGUCGUCAGCUCGUGUCGUGAGAUGUUGGGUUAAGUCCCGCAACGAGCGCAACCCUUGUCUUUAGUUGCCAUCAUUAAGUUGGGCACUCUAAAGAGACUGCCGGUGUCAAACCGGAGAAGUGGGGAUGACGUCAAGUCCUCAUGGCCUUUAUGACCAGGGCUACACACGUACUACAAUGGCAGGUACAAAGGGCAGCCACUUAGCGAUAAGGCGCGAAUCCCGUAAAACCUGUCUCAGUCCGGAUUGGAGUCUGCAACUCGACUCCAUGAAGUUGGAAUCGCUAGUAAUCGCAGAUCAGCACGCUGCGGUGAAUACGUUCCCGGGCCUU
rnacentral:rRNA from 1 species